UGCAUCCCUCCAUCAUCCAUCCCACCCCUCCUCACCUGGAGAAGCACAGACACUGCUCUCACUCAUGGAUAUGGGGCAGAAGUGAGGUUGCCCAAGGCACAAUGACGCCGAUGCUGACUCCAUCUGCAGCCUCUGCUAAGCGCUGCUCUUUGCACUGAGGGUUGGGUUUGAUCCUGCCUUCCCAGCCUCGACAUUCCCAGCUCUGUCCUGAGCUCAUCCCUUUAUUGCUGGCUCUUGCAAGGGUGUUAAGGAGAGGUUGGUCUCAGUGCUGAAGCCAGAGGCUGGCCCAUGUUGGGGCUGGCACAGAAGGAGCUGGCUCCUUCCUGCACCUUGUAACAACAAGGAGGGGGUCAAACUCCCCUUUUUCACUGGAAUGAGCAUGUUCACCUCAUCCUGCUCCAUGCAUCCAAUGGGAGACGGGACCAGCAGGCCCAGGCCUCUGGAAGCGCCUCCUGCUUGUUGGAAGAGUGAAGAUCCAGGCCCAGCAAUGGAAAACGUGAUGCACCUGGAAGAACGGAGCUAAAAUGCCCUCUCCUGAGCCCUUGGCAUGUUCAUCCCAAAGGACGGGAGCCCGGAAUUCCCUAUGGAUAAAUCAUAGCUCAGAUGAGGCUGGUGUGAGGUUGACACCAACCUCAAUGCCCUGGGACGUGCCCAGACCCAUGUGAAAGGCUUAUAAUGAGCAAUAAAGAGCAUACUCCCAUUU